AUGUUAUCAAGAAAGGUGGAGAGACUAGACUCUGUGAAACCUUGGCAACCCUUCGUCAGCGAAGAAGGUGCUACGUUCUAAUCCGUUUUUACGGAUGCAGAUAACGC
rnacentral:ncRNA from 2 species